GAAAUGCGAUAAGUAGUGUGAAUUGCAGAAUUCAGUGAAUCAUCGAAUCUUUGAACGCACAUUGCGCCCCUUGGUAUUCCAUGGGGCAUGCCUGUUCGAGCGUCAUUUGUACCCUCAAGCUUUGCUUGGUGUUGGGCGUUUUGUCCUCUUCUGGAGGACAAGACGCCCAACACCAAAACUCAAGGUUGACCUCGGAUCAGGUGGGGAUACCCGCUGAACUUAA
rnacentral:misc_RNA from 1 species